UCCACCAAGAGAACUAUUAGGAAAUGUUCUCCUUAAUGGGCCACAGCACCUACAGGAGACGGCGCGCUUCGGGGGGGGGGAGGUGCUGGGGUUCUGGAUCAGCUGCUUGCAAAUUGUGUGGGUCCACAAGUUAUUUAACUUUUCUGGGCCUUAGUUUCCUCCACUGGAAAAUGGAGAAGACAUCAUUCAGCUCCUAUGACUGCUUAACUGAAAACACGUAUGUAAAAACGACGGAUUCUUUGUGAGGGGGGCGGAAAGAGUCCCAAGGGUGCCAUUCACAGGCCGAGAACACCAAGGCACCUCCAGGUGCACCAGCCCUCGCCUCUCUCCUGGAAGCGAGCAGUGGCAUGAACCCUCAGUUUCGCGGUCCCUUUGGAGCGGCAAACUUUCCCCUCGAAGCCCCUGAAAGAGGACCUCCCACACACACAGAGACACACUGAGGGCACACCUGCCCCGCAAACACGCGCGACCGGGCAGCACAUUCUGUGGGUGGCGCGCAAUGGGGCUUUCUGCAGGAGCCCAGGGGAAGCAGCCCCACUGGAGAGUCUGUUGGGGUUCGAGACCUUCAGCUCUCUCCUUCCAGGGGACCUGAACAAGUGAAAGCUACUCAGUCAUUUCAGGCCUCCCGAGCGCUCCAUCUGCAAACUGGGCAGAUCUCAAGGGUGCCCCGGGAUGACCUGAUUUCAAGGGAGGUGCAGAGAAGGAAGACUAAAUAAAAACAGGAAACCCGAUUUAAAAAAAGAAGCCUCAUUCUGGCUGAAUUACGGAGUUGGGUGCAAGAAGUCGGCCGGUGAGGAGUGCUUUUUUGCCUCAUUCAAAAGAACUCUUCCCUGAAUAUUUGCUGACAGCCCUUCACAUCACGCUUUGGGACAUGUGCGACGGGGAUCUGAGGCGUGCCAAGUGCUCAGACACGCUUCCCCCACUGUUAUCUCCGAUCCCUGCAGCAGUCUCCCGAGGGAAAUCUUAGCCCCACUUCACAGCCCCAGUCCACAUGACAAGACCGCUGCGGCCUGGGGCAGAGUCAUGGUGGCGGUGCGAGGGCGUCCAGACCACGGGAGAACCUGGCCAAGGUCAGAACCGAUUCCUGGAAAGUCUGACUUCUGGGGACACAGGCUUGGAGGAGCCCAGAGAGCUGGCCAGGUGCAGGUGCCUGAGGAAAAGAAGACAGGGGUCUUUGUAGCCCCCGUCCCCAGGCGGUGCCCUCUGGAGAAAGACGCAGAGGUGGACGGAUCGUGCCCCUGCACUUCAUGGAGCGUCACCGUGGGACUGAAGGGUCCAGAAAGACCCAGAUGGCUCAGAGGUGGCCCAGGUGAACCAGGCCCUUAGGGGACCAGCGUUGAACUGCUGGAGAUUGAGUUUCUGGGCCCAAGUCAAUGGGGGCCCCAAACAGAAGUUCAGUUAUCCUUUUUGUAAAACCCAAACAUUCCAACCCCAGGAUGCCUGGGUUCCAAUCCCAGCCCAACCCCCUACCGGCUGUGCAACCCUGGGGGCAUCCCUCCAGCCCUCCUGACCCGGGGCUAGGGGAGGGUCCUGCCCCUGGCACCAAGUCAGUGUUCCAGAAACAGCAUUUGGCUUUUAACAUACCUUCUAAUGCACUUCCUAGUCCAGGGUGUGGGAGUACUGGGGAAAGGGGGUGGGGAGCAGCAGGGUUUGGGGUCAUGAGGCUGGAUCCAAACUCUUGCCUCCAUACACUGGGGGUGACCCAGGCUUUGCAACACUGACUCAUUCAGCCCCCGUGCCUGCUGCAGUCGGGGCCCUGGAGUACAGCACUGUCCAAGCCAAGGGCCUGCCCUCCCGGGGCUUAUACUCCACAAAGAGAAACUAUGGAGAAUAAAAAUAAGAUACAGUGUCCUGAGGUAGUAAGCGCUGCAAAGACAUAGGAGGUGGGGAGGAGGGGAGAGACGGAAGAGGGACAGUGGGGUCUACAAAAACACCUGCCCAGUCCUCAAGACGGUCAAGGUCAUCGGAGACAAGGAAAAUGAGAACUGUCACAGCCAAGAGGAGCCUAAGGAGAGUGUGACAAACAGGAAAAAGAGAACAAAAGAGCAUAAAUGCUGAAGAGAGAGAAGAAUUAGAAGGAGAAGGAAAGCCGUUUUCUACCUGGAGGGGGCUGGCUGGUGACCUCCAGAAAGGAACCUGGAGCUUGGGUGCUGUACACACAAGCUGGGGAGCGCUGGGCCACUGAUACCUCUUGACACGACUAAGGAAAUCGGAGAAGCUGCCGUGCAGAGACUGAGAUUGAGAGAAAACCAGCAAGAGAGGAAGAGAGGAUCCCAGGCUAAAAGAAGAAACUGAAGCCACCAAGCUUGCUGCUCAGACACCCUAGCCCUGGGGGACGGCCCAGCCUAAGGCCAAAUAUUUAAGCAGACAGGAUUUCAUGGCAGUGGUUAUUGGUAAAUGACACUACCCAAAAUAAAAUCAGCAGCCAGUCCACUACACUUCUGUGGGGCCUGAAACUUCAGGAAACCCUAAAACCUGGCACACUGGGGCUUGGGAUGUCUUACCCUCCGGGUGACUCCUAAGCCCACAUCCUACCUCCAAUAUGAAGCAGGCUACCAGGGCAGCUGUGUCCCUCCUAGAAAAAGGGUUCCCAAGAACCCCUCAAGGACAGGCCUAAAAGACCGCUAGAGAAGGGAUCUCUUCUCGGUGAGCAGAACCUGGGACAGCCCCGUUGGCCAACAAAGAAGCCAGAGAAGAUCAAGCAAGGAAGGAGAGGUGAAACCCGUCACUCCGUCUAUAGAUUGAGGGGGAUCUGGGGGAGCCUUAGAGGAGAUUCAGGAAAAAUAGAUGGGAGCGCGUGUCUGCCUGAGAUGACGACUCUGAGAAUGGAGUCCCGGAGGCAAGACUUCGACCUGACGUGGAUUGCCUCAUGUUUGGCAGGGUGAGGGAUGUUUGUGGUGGACUUUGUGGUAUAAGGAUGAAGCAAGUAACUGGAAUGGAGCUUUCCGGGGAAAGUCAGAGGAAUAAAGCACGUGGAU